AGAGUUUGAUCCUGGCUCAGGAUGAACGCUAGCGGCAGGCUUAACACAUGCAAGUCGAGGGGCAGCAGACCACUUCGGUGGUGCUGGCGACCGGCGCACGGGUGAGUAUCGCGUUUGUAACCUACCUCUGACUGGAGGAUAGCUCCCGGAAACGGGAAUUAAUACUCCAUAAUAUUUAAACAUGGCAUCAUGUUUUCAUAAAAGCUCCGGCGGUCAGAGAUGGGCAUGCGUGACAUUAGCUAGUUGGUAAGGUAACGGCUUACCAAGGCUACGAUGUCUAGGGGGUCUGAGAGGAUGAUCCCCCACACUGGUACUGAGACACGGACCAGACUCCUACGGGAGGCAGCAGUGAGGAAUAUUGGGCAAUGGACGCAAGUCUGACCCAGCCAUGCCGCGUGCAGGAUGACGGCCCUAUGGGUUGUAAACUGCUUUUAUACAGGAAGAAACCCUCUGACGUGUCAGAGGUUGACGGUACUGUACGAAUAAGCAUCGCUAACU
rnacentral:rRNA from 1 species